rnacentral:rRNA from 1 species
AAGACUGGGAUAACUCCGGGAAACCGGGGCUAAUACCGGAUGGUUGUUUGAACCGCAUGGUUCAAACAUAAAAGGUGGCUUCGGCUACCACUUACAGAUGGACCCGCGGCGCAUUAGCUAGUUGGUGAGGUAACGGCUCACCAAGGCAACGAUGCGUAGCCGACCUGAGAGGGUGAUCGGCCACACUGGGACUGAGACACGGCCCAGACUCCUACGGGAGGCAGCAGUAGGGAAUCUUCCGCAAUGGACGAAAGUCUGACGGAGCAACGCCGCGUGAGUGAUGAAGGUUUUCGGAUCGUAAAGCUCUGUUGUUAGGGAAGAACAAGUACCGUUCGAAUAGGGCGGUACCUUGACGGUACCUAACCAGAAAGCCACGGCUAACUACGUGCCAGCAGCCGCGGUAAUACGUAGGUGGCAAGCGUUGUCCGGAAUUAUUGGGCGUAAAGGGCUCGCAGGCGGUUUCUUAAGUCUGAUGUGAAAGCCCCCGGCUCAACCGGGGAGGGUCAUUGGAAACUGGGGAACUUGAGUGCAGAAGAGGAGAGUGGAAUUCCACGUGUAGCGGUGAAAUGCGUAGAGAUGUGGAGGAACACCAGUGGCGAAGGCGACUCUCUGGUCUGUAACUGACGCUGAGGAGCGAAAGCGUGGGGAGCGAACAGGAUUAGAUACCCUGGUAGUCCACGCCGUAAACGAUGAGUGCU